GCGUUCUUAGUUCAGUGGUAGAACGUAGCACUCGUAUUGCUUUGCCGAUGCUAAGAUCAGUUGUUCAAUCCGGCUAGAAGGCA